UGGCUUUGAAGGCGUGGGAUUUUUGCAUCCCGCCGUUCCAGCUGUAAAGAGUUUACAUAGGGAGGGAGCAAGGAAGGAUCAUGAAUGUCAACCAAUGAGCAAUUAGCAUGACAAGACUAAAGUAUUGAUCCACUAAAGCUCACGGCUCUGCUGUAGCCCCAGAGCUAGAGCGGCUCCCCUGUCACUAACAGUGCAUUUCGGAAGCCUGUGCUAUAGGGCUACUUUUUUUUGUAGCCCUGAUUCCCUUCUUGGGGAUGGGGAAGGUAGCACCCUCAUGCUGCCCGUCAGGAUCAUCUCCAUCCCUGGUACGAAGCUGCCAAGAAGAAAAUAAAGAAGGUGUAAGUCUACAAGACAACAAAAGAGACAAUGAUGGAGUUUGCAGCUCGGCAGAUAUGGUGUUUAGAUGGACACUAGCCAGGUACACAGAGUAAUCUUCAUUUCCCAGCUGUUUUGCAUGGGGGCAAUUAGAUCUGAUUCGAUCUGACCAAUAGAAUGUGGGUGAAAGAGUAGUGUGCCUGGCCUGGGUGAUUAAAAACUUCCCGCAUAAUCCUUCAUUUCUUUCCCUUCCAAUGUGACCUUGUUGGUAACAUAUUGGUGACAGGGAUGCAUCGCAACCUGGGUUUCUGGGAAUCCAAUUGGAGAAAAGUGGCAUGACUCACUUUAGAAUAUGGCAAGAGUAAUUAAUUUGUAGAGUGUUGAAUGAUGGUGAUUUUAGGAUUGUUGAUGUCAAUGUGAGCUUAGCAGCUAGUGUUAA